rnacentral:rRNA from 1 species
UACAGAGGGUGCAAGCGUUGUUCGGAAUUAUUGGGCGUAAAGGGCGCGUAGGCGGCUGUACAAGUCAAAGGUGAAAUCCCUCGGCUCAACUGAGGAACUGCCUUUGAAACUGUACGGCUUGAGGCCGGGAGGGGGUAGCGGAAUUCCCAGUGUAGCGGUGAAAUGCGUAGAUACUGGGAGGAACACCAGUGGCGAGGGCGGCUACCUGGACCGGUUCUGACGCUGAGGCGCGAAAGCGUGGGUAGCAAACAGG